GGUAGAGUGGCCGAGUGGUUAAGGCGUUAGAUUUAGGCGGCAGGUGCAAACCUCGCAUCCUCUCUAAUGGGUAACCGCGCGAGUUCGAAUCUCGUCUCUAUCA
rnacentral:tRNA from 1 species